rnacentral:tRNA from 1 species
GCUUUCAUACCUCAGUUGGUUAGAGCACCCGUUUAGUAAGCAGGAGGUCUGAGUUCAACUCUCAUUGAAAGCA